rnacentral:miRNA from 1 species
UUGGGUGACCAACUGUCCUGGUUUGUCUGGGACUGAGGAAUUUCAUGGGACAUAGGACUUUCAGUGCUAAAACUGAAUAGUC